CCAAUAGCGUAUAUUAAAGUUGUUGCAGUUAAAAAGCUCGUAGUUGAAUUUCGGGAUCAGUACGUUGGUCGUGCCUUCGGUAUGUACUGGUGUCACUGAUUCCUCCCUUCUGACGAACCGUGAUGUCAUUAAUUUGGUGUUGCGGGGAAUCAGGACUGUUACUUUGAAAAAAUUAGAGUGUUUAAAGCAGGCUCACGCUUGAAUACAUUAGCAUGGAAUAAUGAAAUAGGACGUUUGAUCCUAUUUUGUUGGUUUCUAGGAUCGACGUAAUGAUUAAUAGGGAUAGUUGGUGGCAUUAGUAUUCAAUUGUCAGAGGUGAAAUUCUUGGAUUUAUUGAAGACUAACUACUGCGAAAGCAUUUGCCAAGGAUGUUUUCAUUAAUCAAGAACGAAAGUUAGGGGAUCGAAGACGAUCAGAUACCGUCGUAGUCUUAACCAUAAACUAUGCCGACUAGGGAUCGGAUGAUGUUAAUUUUAUAAUGACUCAUUCGGCGCCUUACG
rnacentral:rRNA from 1 species